CUCUAUGCAAGAGUUCUAUACACGAAUAACAACAAGGCGGAACUAGAUAUAGGGAUGUUAUUAAAUAUGCUGUCACAGGAUCUAGAUAAGACGCCUAUAGCCAGUUUUAAUGAUAUAGACACUUUGGGUUAUAGUUUGAUGAUCAUGAGUAGGCUGGGAAGAUUUGAAAAGGCCAAAAAUAUUUUUCAUUCGCUAAAUCGCAUACUUAAUCAACAGAAAUUCAUACUUCAUUUUGAUACGUUAAUUGGUUUGCAGGCUUUAACCUAUUUCAUCAAUCAAAUAUCUUCCAAAUUUUACAAAAAGAAGAUUCCUUGUGUGUUUGGG